rnacentral:rRNA from 1 species
UCGGGAAUUUUGGGCAAUGGGCGAAAGCCUGACCCAGCAACGCCGCGUGAAGGAUGAAGGCCUUCGGGUUGUAAACUGCUUUUGUACGGAACGAAACGGCGAACUCUAAUAAAGUUUGCUAAUGACGGUACCGUAAGAAUAAGCACCGGCUAACUACGUGCCAGCAGCCGCGGUAAUACGUAGGGUGCAAGCGUUAAUCGGAAUUACUGGGCGUAAAGCGUGCGCAGGCGGUUAUAUAAGACAGAUGUGAAAUCCCCGGGCUCAACCUGGGACCUGCAUUUGUGACUGUAUAGCUAGAGUACGGUAGAGGGGGAUGGAAUUCCGCGUGUAGCAGUGAAAUGCGUAGAUAUGCGGAGGAACACCGAUGGCGAAGGCAAUCCCCUGGACCUGUACUGACGCUCAUGCACGAAAGCGUGGGGAGCAAACAGGAUUAGAUACCCCCGUAGUCCCUGAGCGGGCUGGCAAGGCGCAU